CAGCCGCCGCGGUAAUACAGAGGGUGAGAGCGUUAAUCGGAUUUACUGGGCGUAAAGCGUGCGUAGGCGGCUUUUUAAGUCGGAUGUGAAAUCCCUGAGCUUAACUUAGGAAUUGCAUUCGAUACUGGGAAGCUAGAGUAUGGGAGAGGAUGGUAGAAUUCCAGGUGUAGCGGUGAAAUGCGUAGAGAUCUGGAGGAAUACCGAUGGCGAAGGCAGCCAUCUGGCCUAAUACUGACGCUGAGGUACGAAAGCAUGGGGAGCAAACAGGAUUAGAUACCCCCGUAGUCCCUGUCUCUUAUAC
rnacentral:rRNA from 1 species